rnacentral:rRNA from 6 species
UUCUAUUAGAAAUCAUUAAUAGUAAAAUCUGCUCCAUGUCUAAUAAAUAGCCGCAAUUUGUGCUAAGGUAGCAUAAUCAUUUGUCUUUUAAAUGAAGACUAGAACAAAAGAUUUAACACUUUCAGUUCAUUUUCUUAACUUAAAUCAUUAAAUUUAUCCUAAAUGUAAAAAGACAUUUAUAUAAAAGAAAGACGAUAAGACCCUAUUGAACUUAACUGCAGUUAAACUGGGGCAGUAAAUUAAUUAUUAUUUUAAUAAAAUUUAUUUCAUAAAUAUCUAAUAAAAUUAAAUAAUUCAGUUACCAUAGGGAUAACAGCGUAAUAAUCUUCUAAAGAUCUUAUUUAAAAUAUAGAUUACGACCUCGAUGUUGAAUUAAUAACCUAAUUAAGGCAAAACUUAAAAAAGGAAGUCUGUUCGACUUUUAAAAAAUUACAUGAUUUGAGUUCAGACCGGUGUAAGCCAGGUCGGUUUCUAUCUUCUAAAAAAUUUUUUACAGUACGAAAGGACCUAAAAAUCUAAUA